rnacentral:rRNA from 1 species
GAUCCUGGCUCAGGACGAACGCUGGCGGCGUGCUUAACACAUGCAAGUCGAACGGGAAGGCCUAAGCUUGCUUGGGUACUCGAGUGGCGAACGGGUGAGUAACACGUGAGUGAUCUGCCCUCAACUUCGGGAUAAGCCUGGGAAACUGGGUCUAAUACUGGAUAGGACCAUCCUUUAGUGUGUGAUGGUGGAAAGUUUUUUCGGUUGGGGAUGAGCUCGCGGCCUAUCAGCUUGUUGGUGGGGUAAUGG